rnacentral:rRNA from 1 species
GACGAACGCUGGCGGCGUGCUUAACACAUGCAAGUCGAACGGUAAGGCCCCUCGGGGUACACGAGUGGCGAACGGGUGAGUAACACGUGGGUGAUCUGCCCUGCACUUCGGGAUAAGCCUGGGAAACUGGGUCUAAUACCGGAUAGGACCCUGGGAUGCAUGUCCUGGGGUGGAAAGCUUUUGCGGUGUGGGAUGGGCCCGCGGCCUAUCAGCUUGUUGGUGGGGUGAUGGCCUACCAAGGCGACGACGGGUAGCCGGCCUGAGAGGGUGACCGGCCAAACUGGGACUGAGAUACGGCCCAGACUCCUACGGGAGGCAGCAGUGGGGAAUAUUGCACAAUGGGCGCAAGCCUGAUGCAGCGACGCCGCGUGAGGGAUGACGGCCUUCGGGUUGUAAACCUCUUUCAGCACCGACGAAGCGCAAGUGACGGUAGGUGCAGAAGAAGGACCGGCCAACUACGUGCCAGCCGCCGCGGUAA